UGGGGAUGACGUCAAGUCAUCAUGGCCCUUACGACCAGGGCUACACACGUGCUACAAUGGCGCAUACAAAGAGAAGCGACCUCGCGAGAGCAAGCGGACCUCAUAAAGUGCGUCGUAGUCCGGAUUGGAGUCUGCAACUCGACUCCAUGAAGUCGGAAUCGCUAGUAAUCGUGGAUCAGAAUGCCACGGUGAAUACGUUCCCGGGCCUUGUACACACCGCCCGUCACACCAUGGGAGUGGGUUGCAAAAGAAGUAGGUAGCUUAACCUUCGGGAGGGCGCUUACCACUUUGUGAUUCAUGACUGGGGUGAAGUCGUAACAAGGUAACCGUAGGGGAACCUGC
rnacentral:rRNA from 3 species